rnacentral:rRNA from 1 species
UACGGGGGGAGCAAGCGUUGUUCGGAUUUACUGGGCGUAAAGGGCGCGUAGGCGGCCACCGCAAGUCGGUUGUGAAAUCUCCGGGCUUAACCCGGAAAGGUCAAUCGAUACUGCGGGGCUAGAGUGCAGAAGGGGCAACUGGAAUUCUCGGUGUAGCGGUGAAAUGCGUAGAUAUCGAGAGGAACACCUGCGGCGAAGGCGGGUUGCUGGGCUGACACUGACGCUGAAGCGCGAAAGUUAGGGGAGCGAACGGG